GAUGAACGCUAGCUAUAGGCUUAACACAUGCAAGUCGAGGGGAAACGGCAUUAUGUGCUUGCACAUUUUGGACGUCGACCGGCGCACGGGUGAGUAUCGCGUAUCCAACCUGCCCUUUACUUGGGGAUACCCCGUUGAAAGACGGCCUAAUACCCGAUGUAAUUCAUUGAUGGCAUCAGAUAUGAAUAAAAGAUUUAUCGGUAAAGGAUGGGGAUGCGUCUGAUUAGCUUGUUGGUGAGGUAAAGGCUCACCAAGGCAACGAUCAGUAGGGGUUCUGAGAGGAAGGUCCCCCACAUUGGAACUGAGACACGGUCCAAACUCCUACGGGAGGCAGCAGUGAGGAAUAUUGGUCAAUGGGCGGAAGCCUGAACCAGCCAAGUAGCGUGCAGGAAGACGGCCCUAUGGGUUGUAAACUGCUUUUAUACGAGAAUAAUUUGAUGCACGUGUGCGUUAUUGCAUGUAUCGUAUGAAUAAGGACCGGCUAAUUCCGUGCCAGCAGCCGCGGUAAUACGGAAGGUUCGGGCGUUAUCCGGAUUUAUUGGGUUUAAAGGGAGCGUAGGCCGGAGAUUAAGUGUGUUGUGAAAUGUAGACGCUCAACGUCUGACUUGCAGCGCAUACUGGUUUCCUUGAGUACGCACAACGUUGGCGGAAUUCGUCGUGUAGCGGUGAAAUGCUUAGAUAUGACGAAGAACUCCGAUUGCGAAGGCAGCUGACGGGAGCGCAACUGACGCUGAAGCUCGAAGGUGCGGGUAUCGAACAGG
rnacentral:rRNA from 1 species